AGAGUUUGAUCCUGGCUCAGAACGAACGCUGGCGGCGUGCCUGAGACAUGCAAGUCGUGGGAGAAUUUCGUAGCAAUACGGAUAGUAAACCGGCGCACGGGUGAGUAACACGUGGACAAUCUGCCUCGGAGACUGGGAUAACUCGUCGAAAGACGGGCUAAUACCAGAUAAGACCACGGGGAGUUCGCUUCCUGAGGUAA
rnacentral:rRNA from 1 species